rnacentral:rRNA from 1 species
GGCGGCGUGCUAAUACUGCAAGUCGAGCGAAUCGAUGGGAGCUUGCUCCCUGAGAUUAGCGGCGGACGGGUGAGUAACACGUGGGCAACCUGCCUAUAAGACUGGGAUAACUUCGGGAAACCGGAGCUAAUACCGGAUACGUUCUUUUCUCGCAUGAGAGAAGAUGGAAAGACGGUUUACGCUGUCACUUAUAGAUGGGCCCGCGGCGCAUUAGCUAGUUGGUGAGGUAAUGGCUCACCAAGGCGACGAUGCGUAGCCGACCUGAGAGGGUGAUCGGCCACACUGGGACUGAGACACGGCCCAGACUCCUACGGGAGGCAGCAGUAGGGAAUCUUCCGCAAUGGACGAAAGUCUGACGGAGCAACGCCGCGUGAACGAAGAAGGCCUUCGGGUCGUAAAGUUCUGUUGUUAGGGAAGAACAAGUACCAGAGUAACUGCUGGUACCUUGACGGUACCUAACCAGAAAGCCACGGCUAACUACGUGCCAGCAGCCGCGGUAAUACGUAGGUGGCAAGCGUUGUCCGGAAUUAUUGGGCGUAAAGCGCGCGCAGGUGGUUCCUUAAGUCUGAUGUGAAAGCCCACGGCUCAACCGUGGAGGGUCAUUGGAAACUGGGGAACUUGAGUGCAGAAGAGGAAAGU